rfam:Operophtera brumata OBRT01_Sc00947, whole genome shotgun sequence.
CUAUCGGCCCUUAUUAGGGCCACCUGUUUUAAAGCAAGACAAAACU